GACGAACGCUGGCGGCGUGCUUAACACAUGCAAGUCGAACGGAAAGGCCCUGCUUUUGUGGGGUGCUCGAGUGGCGAACGGGUGAGUAACACGUGAGUAACCUGCCCUUGACUUUGGGAUAACUUCAUGCAACUGGGGCUAAUACCGGAUAGGAGCUCCUGCUGCAUGGUGGGGGUUGGAAAGUUUCGGCGGUUGGGGAUGGACUCGCGGCUUAUCAGCUUGUUGGUGGGGUAGUGGCUUACCAAGGCUUUGACGGGUAGCCGGCCUGAGGGGGUGACCGGCCAAAGUGGGACUGAGAUACGGCCCAGACUCCUACGGGAGGCAGCAGUGGGGAAUAUUGCACAAUGGGCGGAAGCCUGAUGCAGCAACGCCGCGUGCGGGAUGACGGCCUUCGGGUUGUAAACCGCUUUCGCCUGUGACGAAGCGUGAGUGACGGUAAUGGGUAAAGAAGCACCGGCUAACUACGUG
rnacentral:rRNA from 1 species